UCCAUCCAUCAAUCCGUCCAUCCAUCAAUCCAUCCAUCCAUCCAUCCAUCCAUCCAUCAAUCCGUCCAUCCAUCAAUCCAUCCAUCCAUCCAUCCAUCCAUCCACCCAUCCAUCCACCCAUUCACAGCUGAACAAUGUCCAUCAUAAAGAGGCUCACCUGUCUGAACGAAGUUACCUGAUGGACUCCUGCAGGCUCACAGAAAGACAAGUUUUCGGUGAACACAUGAAGUCUGACUCCAUCUUCAGUCAGAUUAUACUCACAGGAACCAGUCCGACCACUAACAGCUGCUCACACAGCCACUAAAACUUUAUUGUCUGUGUGUUCAGUUCUGACAUGUGGAGCUUUCACCUGAAGCUCUGCUCCUCCUGAGACAAGAGCUGUAUGUCACCACCUGUUAGAGCAGCCAGGUGUGCUAUUAUCUGCUGCAGAGGAGAAUCUGAGCCCGCAGGCUGAGCCGUUAAAAGAGCUGAAACUAUGCAGAUUUUCUUAUUUUCAAGAGACAACAGCAGAGAGAAAUCCUUUCACACUGGACCCAACACUCCUCAGACCCAGAAACUUCUAAAACUAACAACACUAAUAAAAUAAUCAGAUACUAACACUCUGUGAACUCUGCAAACUACUAACACUCUGUGAACUACUGAAAGUCUGUGAACUACCAAAACUCAUUGAUGGACGGCCAUUAACUCAUCCCAGCUUCUCAGGUGACAGUGUCAGUUGGGAUGUCAUAGUUGGUAUGUCUCAGAUGUGAUGUCUCAGGUGCCUCAGGUGUGAUGUCCCAGGUGGAAUGUCUAAGAUGUGAUGUCUCAGGUGGGAUGUCUCAGCUGUGGUGCCUCAGGUGCCUCAGGUGUGUUGUCUCAGGUGUGGUGUCAAAGGUGGGAUGUGUCAGGUGUGAUGUCUUAGGUGUGACGUCACAGUUGGGAUGUCUCAGGUGGGAUGUCUCAGGUGGGAUGUCUAAGAUGUGAUGUCCCAGGUGCCUAAGGUGUGUUGUCUCAGGUGGGAUGUCUCAGGUGCCUCAGGUGUGUUGUCUCAGGUGGGAUGUCUCAGGUGUGGUGUCAAAGGUGGGAUGUCUAAGAUGUGAUGUCUCAGGUGCCUCAGGUGUGGUGUCCCAGGUGCCUAAGGUGUGUUGUCUCAGGUGGGAGGUCUCAGGUCUUUUGUUUCAGGUGUGUUGUCUCAGGUGUGGUGUCUCAGGUGUGGUGUCAAAGGUGGGAUGUCUCAGGUGUGAUUGUCAGUUGGGGAUGUCUCAGGUGUGAUGUCUAAGGUGUGGUUUCUCAGGUGUGUUUUCUCAGGUGGGAUGUCUCAGGUGUGGUGUCUCAGGUGUGGUGUCAAAGGUGGGAUGUCUCAGGUGUGAUGUCCCACGUGUGACGUCACAGGUGGGAUGUCCCAGGUGGGAGGUCUCAGGUCUUUUGUUUCAGGUGUGUUGUCUCAGGUGUGGUGUCUCAGGUGUGGUGUCAAAGGUGGGAUGUCUCAGGUGUGAUUGUCAGUUGGGGAUGUCUCAGGUGUGAUGUCUAAGGUGUGGUUUCUCAGGUGUGUUUUCUCAGGUGGGAUGUCUCAGGUGUGGUGUCUCAGGUGUGGUGUCAAAGGUGGGAUGUCUCAGGUGUGAUGUCCCACGUGUGACGUCACAGGUGUGAUGUCCCAGGUGCCUCAGGUGUGUUGUCUCAGGUGGGAUGUCUAAGAUGUGAUGUCUUAGGUGCCUCAGGUGUGUUGUCUCAGGUGGGAUG